AGUGCUGUAGCCUCAUAGCUCAGAACAACCUGCAACUCGUAGCCUCAAGCGAUUCUCUUGCCUCAGCCUCCCUGGUAGCUGAGAGUACAGGAGCUCACCAUGACCCUGGGUACUUUUUAGAGACACGUUCUGGCUCUUGAUCAACUAAAGACACCACCUGCCAUGGCUCAGAGGCCCCUCUGUUCCUCCUCCCCAAGGGCUACAGCUUGGAAGUCUGGCCAUUGGAAUUCCCAGAACUUCCCGUGUGAAUGUUCCUCAGUAUUGAUUCCGGAAGUU